AACGUAGGGCGCGAGCGUUGUCCGGAUUUAUUGGGCGUAAAGAGCUCGUAGGCGGCUUGUUGCGUCGACUGUGAAAACCCGCGGCUUAACUGCGGGCUUGCAGUUGAUACGGGCAGGCUAGAGUUCGGUAGGGGAGACUGGAAUUCCUGGUGUAGCGGUGAAAUGCGCAGAUAUCAGGAGGAACACCGGUGGCGAAGGCGGAUCUCUGGGCCGAUACUGACGCUGAGGAGCGAAAGCGUGGGGAGCGAACAGG
rnacentral:rRNA from 1 species